rnacentral:lncRNA from 1 species
AGGAGGACAUCCACUAGAAAAACGACUCCCUGAAAUUUUGCCUCAAAGAAAACAAUCGAACAAGCUCUGGAUUGCUUCCACGAGCAAGAGAAGAGAAGCGCAGCCGAAGAAUCACAAUCCACACCACAAACGAAAGCAAGCUUAAGAUGGAGAAAAAGCAGCCCUAAAACUAAGGCCAAAGAAAGCCUAACCGGAUAUGAUACGUAUAACAUAGAGUUCAAAUUUGAAUGGGCCUAUAAAGAUUAUAUCCCAAUACAAAGCCCAAUUGACAACAAAGAGAGAUGCUGAAGGAUAAUCUUCACCACACGUGGGAAGCUGAGAACAUGAUAAGAACGUGCCACGUGUUGCAGUAAAGCAACAUGUCAUCGACCACCAACCUCCGUCACCUGAUACACCAAUUCCAUUGAAAAAAUCAUCGCCGGAAAACAAUAUCCGGCUAACGAUUCUUUAGUUUUUCACCAACUUUUGUAGAUACGGCUAAAGAGACAUAUAAAACAGAUAAAAAAACUCAAUCGGUUGCUAAAUCCAUUAAUAAUCAUUUGGGAUUCAGCGAACAAAGUCCAACAGAGAAUGAUAAGAUUUGAAAUUCUACCACCGUAUGCUAAUCAAAUUGAAACUUAGAUAAUCAAGUAAGAACGGCUGAGAGUCAAUCUAAAAUUAGCAAAGGAACAGAUCUUCAUACCAUAAAAUCUUAGUCGCAAAACUGUGAAGCUAUCUUAAAAACGGUUAGAAAAACAAACAUCAGAUCCAAAAGAAACAUGCCGGAGAGAAUCGCACUUAGGCAAAGAAGAUCUGCCUAAAACCACGACACCGACAUAGAUCGCACAAUUUAUUCAAGGGAAAGACAAGAAGCGGCAAUGGAUAGCCAAAACAUGAACUGGACCACGCCGGAAACAAAACCGGACCACGCCGAAAACAAAGCCGGAUCUCAUCCAGACAAGGAACACCGGUAACCAAACCGGAAGGUGAAACAAGGAUUGAGUUCUCUCUCUCAAGAGUCCUAGAGAGAGAAGAGA